GGGAUUCCUUGGAUCCAGCCCUGGAGGAAUCCGUGGCUCAGGUGAAGGCUCUCAUGGCCAGUCUCUCAGGGGAGCUCCAGGCCUGGGAUCAGCUCCUGCAGCAGCACCUGCAGCACUCCCAGGAGGCCUCCAGGAAUUUGGAGCAGCUCCGAGCCGGGAACCCCCCCUGGACCCCUCCAGAAAUUCCCAAAUCCCAAAUUUUGGACUCCAAACCCGACUAUGGACAAAUCCU